GAUGAACGCUGGCGGCGUGCCUAAUACAUGCAAGUCGAGCGAACGGACGAGAAGCUUGCUUUUCUGAUGUUAGCGGCGGACGGGUGAGUAACACGUGGAUAACCUACCUAUAAGACUGGGAUAACUUCGGGAAACCGGAGCUAAUAGCGGAUAAUAUUUUGAACCGCAUGGUUCAAAAGUGAAAGACGGUCUUGCUGUCACUUAUAGAUGUAUCCGCGCUGCAUUAGCUAGUUGGUAAGGUAACGGCUUACCAAGGCAACGAUGCAUAGCCGACGGGAGAGGGUGAUCGGCCACACUGGAACGGAGACAGGGUCCAUACUCCUACGGGAGGGCGCAGUAGGGAAUCGUCCGCAAUGGGCGAAAGCCUGACGGAGCAACGGCGAGCGAGUGAUGAAGGUGUUCGGAUCGUAAAACUCUGUUAUUAGGGAAGAACAUAUGUGUAAGUAACUGUGCACAUCUUGACGGUACCUAAUCAGAAAGCCACGGCUAACUACGUG
rnacentral:rRNA from 1 species